AGCGAACGCUGGCGGCAGGCCUAACACAUGCAAGUCGAACGAACUCUUCGGAGUUAGUGGCGGACGGGUGAGUAACACGUGGGAACGUGCCUUUUGGUUCGGAAUAACUCAGGGAAACUUGUGCUAAUACCGAAUGUGCCCUUCGGGGGAAAGAUUUAUCGCCAUUAGAGCGGCCCGCGUCUGAUUAGCUAGUUGGUGAGGUAACGGCUCACCAAGGCGACGCUCAGUAGCUGGUCUGAGAGGAUGACCAGCCACACUGGACUGAGACACGGCCCAGACUCCUACGGGAGGCAGCAGUGGGGAAUCUUGCGCAAUGGGCGAAAGCCUGACGCAGCCAUGCCGCGUGAAUGAUGAAGGUCUUAGGAUUGUAAAAUUCUUUCACCGGGGACGAUAAUGACGGUACCCGGAGAAGAAGCCCCGGCUAACUUCGUG
rnacentral:rRNA from 1 species